rnacentral:rRNA from 1 species
GGUCCAGACUCCUACGGGAGGCAGCAGUGGGGAAUAUUGGGCAAUGGGCGCAAGCCUGACCCAGCAACGCCGCGUGAAGGAAGAAGGCUUUCGGGUUGUAAACUUCUUUUCUCAGGGACGAAGCAAGUGACGGUACCUGAGGAAUAAGCCACGGCUAACUACGUGCCAGCAGCCGCGGUAAUACGUAGGUGGCAAGCGUUAUCCGGAUUUACUGGGUGUAAAGGGCGUGUAGGCGGGACUGCAAGUCAGAUGUGAAAUCCAUGGGCUCAACCUAUGGCCUGCAUUUGAAACUGUAGUUCUUGAGUACUGGAGAGGCAGACGGAAUUCCUAGUGUAGCGGUGAAAUGCGUAGAUAUUAGGAGGAACACCAGUGGCGAAGGCGUCUUACUGGACCGAAACUGACGUUGAGGCUCGAAAGCGUGGGGAGCAAACAGGAUUAGAUACCCGCGUAC